CGGACACAUAAAUCACUUAUAUCAGUAUCGUCCCUCCCUAGCAAACGCAGGAUUGUGACUGUGAUUGGGCUGUUAAGUGCCUGUCAAAUCUGACCACCCUACCUAAAACGCACAUCUUAACAAUGGUGACUGGGCGUCACUCUAUAGUCAGGAAUCGUUUUUUGGAGUAGAUAAAGUACCGAGAAUGCAAAUAAAGCAGUGAAAAACAAGGAAGGAAGAGCAGACGCAUUUCCACAACACGAGGACAACAGCCAUCUGAAUGAAACACAAGAUCUGUCUUUUAUUUCCAGAGACAUGAAAGCUGGCACUUGACUAGAAAACUAAGCCUUGAAGUCUGAGUUCUCCUGUCCUGAGGGCUGCCAAUGAUGAAACAGGAUUUUCUUAUAUAUGUACAAUGGUGCUGCUUGACUCAGAAGUGCUAAAAGGACCUGCUCUGCCUUACCCAAAGAGUCUGUGUUGGGAGACAGGAGACAAAGCUCAU